GACGAACGCUGGCGGCGUGCUUAACACAUGCGAGUCGAACGGAAAGGCCUGCUUUCCCUUGUGGAUUGCGGGUACUCGAGUGGCGAACGGGUGAGUAACACGUGAGUGAUCUGCCCCCAACUUGGGUAUAAGCCUGGGAAACUGGGUCUAAUUCCCGAUAGGACUGCAGGGUGGUGCCUGUGGUGGAAAACGAUUUUCUAGUGGUUGGGGAUGAGCUCGCGGCCUAUCAGCUUGUUGGUGGGGUAAUGGCCUACCAAGGCGGCGACGGGUAGCCGGCCUGGGAGGGUGGACGGCCCAAUUGGGACUGAGAUACGGCCCAGACUCCUACGGGAGGCAGCAGUGGGGAAUAUUGCACAAUGGGCGGAAGCCUGAUGCAGCGACGCCGCGUGGGGGAUGACGGCCUUCGGGUUGUAAACUCCUUUCGACCGCGAGGAAGCCACCUGGUUGGAAGGGUGGUGACGGUAGUGGUAGAAGAAGCACCGGCUAACUACGUG
rnacentral:rRNA from 1 species